rnacentral:lncRNA from 13 species
UUCUAAACCAAAUCUGAGUCCAUCACUUCCCUUUCUGCCCACUGCACUGAUAACCGAAACCCAAGAGCCACAGGAUAUCACUUUUCUGAGCCUUAUUUGGAGGAGUAAAUAACAUAUGCGUGUUUCUUUUAUGUCCAGUUUUGGAAGGCUCUCGAAGAUUGUUUGAGAACUUGACUGCUGUGUCAGAGCAGUGCUGACAUUCUCUAUCGCCAACUGUUGUUCAUUAUUCUAAAAAAUCAAACAAGCAAAAACCACCCCUCCAAACAACUCCAAGACAAACUCCAAGCAAAACAAAACACACAAACAAACUCAUAAUGUUUCUUUGGUGGCUUCUGAGAAGGAGUUUUAAUGAUAGCCACACUGAAGGCGAGCAAGGUUAAACAACUUGCCCAUGUGAUUCAAAAGUUUGGAAGCCAUUUUUAGAUCAGAUGCAGACAACGGUGACCACGUUACUCAGAAGAGCUUUGAAUCAGCAACAUUUCCAGUGGUCUGUAGGGAAAGCCUGUGGUUUCAGUGGAAAGUAGAGAGUAGCAGACCCACGGCCUUCGUCUGAGCUGUGGUUCUGUGUCAGUACUAACAAGGAACCAACUUUUAGGAGCCACUACAUUAAACAGUCAUAUUUCCUCAGGUGAGCAAACAAUUUUUUUGAUUUUGUAGAUCUGCCCUGUCUAUAUUUGGUAGCCACUAGUCACAUGUGGCUUUUGACAUUUGCAUUUUAAUCAAUUAAAAUGAAAUACAAUUUG